CGGCAGCAUGACCUAGCUUGCUAGGUUGAUGGCGAGUGGCGAACGGGUGAGUAAUGCAUCGGAACGUGCCUUUUAGUGGGGGAUAACGUAGCGAAAGUUACGCUAAUACCGCAUAUUCUCUGAGGAGGAAAGCAGGGGGCCUUCGGGCCUUGCGCUAGAAGAGCGGCCGAUGUCGGAUUAGCUAGUUGGUGAGGUAAAGGCUCACCAAGGCAACGAUCCGUAGCGGGUCUGAGAGGAUGAUCCGCCACACUGGGACUGAGACACGGCCCAGACUCCUACGGGAGGCAGCAGUGGGGAAUUUUGGACAAUGGGCGCAAGCCUGAUCCAGCCAUGCCGCGUGAGUGAAGAAGGCCUUCGGGUUGUAAAGCUCUUUCGGCUGGGAAGAAAUCGCACUCUCUAAUACAGGGUGUGGAUGACGGUACCAGCAUAAGAAGCACCGGCUAACUACGUGCCAGCAGCCGCGGUAAUACGUAGGGUGCGAGCGUUAUUCGGAAUUACUGGGCGUAAAGCGUGCGCAGGCGGUUGUGUAAGACAGACGUGAAAUCCCCGGGCUCAACCUGGGAACUGCGUUUGUGACUGCACGGCUAGAGUACGGCAGAGGGGGGUGGAAUUCCACGUGUAGCAGUGAAAUGCGUAGAGAUGUGGAGGAACACCGAUGGCGAAGGCAGCCCCCUGGGCCAGUACUGACGCUCAUGCACGA
rnacentral:rRNA from 1 species